CUUGCGUUCCGGGUCUUCCCACACCCUGUCCCUCCAGCGAGCCGAGCUCCGGGAGCGCGUCGGAUCCGCCCAGCCCGGCCGACCGAGCGCACGAUGCGCGGGCCCGGGCGCCCCCUCCUCCUGGGGCUGCUGCUGGUGCUGGGGGCGGCGGGGCCCGGCCAGGGGGUCGCGGAGCCCCGGGAGGCGGCGGACAGGCAGACGCUGCUGCGGCUCAUCCUGGAGAUCGUCCAGGAGCUCAGGAAGUACCACUCGGCGGAGUCCAAGAGGCUGCAGCUCUCGGGCCGACAGGACUACACCCUGGGACGCAGGGAGGUCGCGGACUACGGGGCCGACCCCGAGGAGCAGAGAGUGGAAAUUGUUCCUCGAGAUCUAAGGAUGAAAGACAAGUUUCUAAAACAUCUUACAGGCCCUCUGUAUUUCAGCCCGAAGUGCAGCAAACACUUCCAUAGGCUUUACCACAACACCCGAGACUGCACCAUCCCCGCAUACUAUAAACGGUGCGCCCGGCUUCUCACUCGGCUGGCCGUCAGUCCACUGUGCGUGGAGGGGUAAGGUUCUUCAUGACCUCAGCUUCUUAAAGGCUGUCUGGAAGAAGUAGGCCUUCAGCGGGUCCGAGCACAGGGACCCUCCGCACCUGUGAUCUCACAGCAGAGCCCUCUGCUGCCUCUUUCUGAAGCUCACUAACUGCUGCUUCUCCAGCCAGAGGAGCUGUAGGCGCCCAGCCACCCUCCCACAGGGCAGGACGUCCUCACACACACACUCAUUAUCAGGACUUGCCCCUCAGCAGUGAGCAGAGGUGCAAAGGAGCGGCAGCCCAGGAACCACGAGAAGUGCCUUGGACACCAGCAGGAGGCAACCUGCUACCUUCAUGGACACCAGCAGGAGGCGACCUGCUACCUUCGUGAACACCCGUGAACAAGAGGAUUAUUUUUGCAGACUGACUCUCCCACAUUCCUUCACCGAGUUUUGUAUGUUGCUGACUGUGGACACACGUGCAGUAAAUUGGUGUACCUGACAGUAAAAGUCGCCACUCACCAUUUUAAAAAACAGGAACGCUUGAAGCGUCACGCGGUGAAAUGGCAGAGAGAGAUCUCAUUUUCCUGAUUAGAUGACAUCACAAGUAUUUCUUUAGAAACAUAAGCAGAAUCAGCAGAAUCCGAAACUAUAUUUUCAUAUAGCAUAUGGUAUUAUUUAAUAUUUUUUACUUUUACAAUUAAAUUCCCAGAGUGUUAUUUGGAACUGCAUGAAAAAUUAUAAAAAAAAAAACCAAACAAACGAACUUCAGUUGUGGAGACAUUGGAGAGUAAAUCUGUGAACAUAUCCAGGCUAAUUUCAUUUGUCCUUUGUGUAAUAAAUGUAAAAUAGUGUCCAGAUACUGUGCAAUAUGUAAAUACUGUGAAUAAACCCAGGUAAUAACGGUGCUUGUUAUAA